rnacentral:rRNA from 1 species
UAAUUGAAGAGUUUGAUCAUGGCUCAGAUUGAACGCUGGCGGCAGGCCUAACACAUGCAAGUCGAGCGGUAACAGGGGAAGCUUGCUUCCCGCUGACGAGCGGCGGACGGGUGAGUAAUGUAUGGGGAUCUGCCCGAUAGAGGGGGAUAACUACUGGAAACGGUAGCUAAUACCGCAUAAUCUCUCAGGAGCAAAGCAGGGGAACUUCGGUCCUUGCGCUAUCGGAUGAACCCAUAUGGGAUUAGCUAGUUGGUGAGGUAAUGGCUCACC